rnacentral:rRNA from 1 species
CCUACGGGCGGCAGCAGUGAGGAAUAUUGGUCAAUGGGCGAGAGCCUGAACCCGCCAAGUCGCGUGAGGGAGUACUGCCCUAUGGGUUGUAAACCUCUUUUGUCGGGGAGCAAAAGCCGGACGUGUCCGGCUGUGAGAGUACCCGAAGAAAAAGCAUCGGCUAACUCCGGUCCAGCAGCCGCGGUAAUACGGGGGAUGCGAGCGUUAUCAGGAUUUAUUGGGUUUAAGGGGGGCGCAGGCGGGUUUUUAAGUCAGCGGUAAAAUCGGGGGGCUCAACCCCAUCCAGCCGUUGAAACUGGGGAUCUAGAGUGUGCGAGAGGUAUGCGGAAUGCGUGGUGUAGCGGUGAAAUGCAUAGAUAUCACGCAGAACCCCGAUUGCGAAGGCAGCAUACCGGUGCACAACUGACGCUCAGGCACGAAAGCGUGGGUAUCGAACAGGAUUAGAUACCCCAGUAGUC